GUGAAUGGAAGAUGAAAAAGCAGGAGGACUAAUGUAAAAAAGAAAAGAAGAAAACUGUAUCUCAUCUUCCUCAGAGAAUGAGACCAGCAAGUUAGCUCAACCAUGUUCCUCUCUCAUGGUGCCAGUGGAAGGAAAUAAGGCACACCUAAAAGAAUGAGCACAUUUCACCUUUCUGAUUUCAUGACACUCUGCACGUUUCAUUGGUCACAGAAGAUCAUGGCAUCAAUGGCACGGAAAAG
rnacentral:lncRNA from 1 species